ensembl:lncRNA
CUUAACUAUUGGAUUAUUUUCCUUUUUCUUCUACAUUAGAAAGACAGAAGAUUCCAAACCAUUGGAAGGAGAAUGACAAACACAUCUUCCAAAAUAAUGGAAUGAAAAUAUUUUUUCUCUUCCAAGGAACUUUUGAAGUUUAAGUCCUCUCUGUCAUCAAAGUAAAGGUUCUGGAAAGGGAUGCGUAUUCCCCAAGUGUGGGAGAGGUCUUUCUUUUUCCUGUUUAAUAUGAACAAGAAAGCAUGAAGUUCUAAAGGCUUGGCCAGUGGUUUUCCAGAGAAUAAAAGGGAAGAAUGCUGCACACUGUCCUCUCUCGCUAGUACUUGUAGAGAGGGGAUGGUGUCCAAAUAAGAGUCGGUGUCCAAGUGUUCCAGAUGAAGAGGAGCAGCUGAGAGGUGGCCCAUGGCUAAGCCAGGAGAAACUGCUGCCCCAGAGGAGCUUCUGUGUGGACAGCUUGAGAGAGACUUAAAGAAAACUUCACUUUUUAAGGUAUUUUUUUUAAAGGAAGCUGAACCUUGAAAUGAGAGGUGGGGGUGGGGAUGGA